AGAAAUGAGGUUUAUAUUUGGAACAAUACAGAGGAGAUUAGCAUGGCCCCUGCACAAAGAUGACCUGCAAAUUUGUGAAGCGUUCCAUAUUAAA
rfam:Cavia porcellus supercont2_44 genomic scaffold, whole genome shotgun sequence.